GACGAACGCUGGCGGCGUGCCUAAUACAUGCAAGUCGAGCGGACCAUCAGGAGCUUGCUCCUGAUGGUUAGCGGCGGACGGGUGAGUAACACGUGGGCAACCUGCCUGUAAGACUGGGAUAACACCGGGAAACCGGUGCUAAUACCGGAUAAUCCUUUUCCUCACAUGAGGGAAAGCUGAAAGAUGGCUUCGGCUAUCACUUAUAGAUGGGGCCCGCGGCGCAUUAGCUAGUUGGUGAGGUAACGGCUCACCAAGGCAACGAUGCGUAGCCGACCUGAGAGGGUGAUCGGCCACACUGGGACUGAGACACGGCCCAGACUCCUACGGGGCAG
rnacentral:rRNA from 1 species